AGGUUAUGAUAAAAAAAAAAUCUAUACCAUUAAAAUAUGAAAGCUCUUUGGAGCUUGUUGAUGUCACUAUGAAUCAUUAUUCUCUACCA